CCGGUGGACGAGCGGCGGACGGGUGAGUAACACGUGGGCAACCUGCCGGACUGAUGGGAAUAACCCCGGGAAACCGGGGCUAAUGCCCAAUACGCCCUGACCUCGCCUGAGGUCAGCGGUAAAGCAGGGAUCUUCGGAUCCUUGCACAGUCCGAUGGGCCCGCGGCGCAUUAGCUAGUUGGAGAGGUAAGGGCUCCCCAAGGCGACGAUGCGUAGCCGACCUGAGAGGGUGAUCGGCCACACUGGGACUGAGACACGGCCCAGACUCCUACGGGAGGCAGCAGUAGGGAAUCAUCCGCAAUGGGCGAAAGCCUGACGGUGCAACGCCGCGUGAGUGAUGAAGGUUUUCGGAUCGUAAAGCUCUGUUGACAGGGAAGAACCCACGCCAGUCGAACAGGCUGGCGUGCUGACGGUACCUGUCCAGAAAGCCCCGGCUAACUACGUGCCAGCAGCCGCGGUAAUACGUAGGGGGCAAGCGUUGUCCGGAAUUAUUGGGCGUAAAGGGCACGCAGGCGGUUUCGUCAGUCCGAUGUGACAGGCCACGGCUCAACCGUGGAAGGCCAUUGGAAACUGCGAAACUUGAGGACAGAAGAGGAGAGUGGAAUUCCACGUGUAGCGGUGAAAUGCGUAGAUAUGUGGAGGAACACCAGUGGCGAAGGCGACUCUCUGGUCUGUACCUGACGCUGAGGUGCGAAAGCAUGGGGAGCAAACAGGAUUAGAUACCCUGGUAGUCCAUGCCGUAAACGCUGAGUGCUAGGUGUUAGGGGUUUCGAUACCCGUAGUGCCGAAGCUAACGCAUUAAGCACUCCGCCUGGGGAGUACGACCGCAAGGUUGAAACUCAAAGGAAUUGACGGGGGCCCGCACAAGCGGUGGAGCAUGUGGUUUAAUUCGACGCAACGCGAAGAACCUUACCAGAUCUUGACAUCUUCCGCUACGCCUCGAGAGAGGCGGUUCCCCUUCGGGGGACGGAAUGACAGGUGGUGCAUGGUUGUCGUCAGCUCGUGUCGUGAGAUGUUGGGUUAAGUCCCGCAACGAGCGCAACCCCUAAUCUUAGUUGCCAGCAUUCAGUUGGGCACUCUAAGGUGACUGCCGGUGACAAACCGGAAGAAGG
rnacentral:rRNA from 1 species